AAGGUUUCCGUAGGUGAACCUGCGGAAGGAUCAUUGUCGAUGCCUUACAUGCAGUCCAACACGUGAAUCAGUUUGAACACAUACGGUGGGCUUGAGGUGUUCCACACCUCGGCCUACCUCUGGUUCGGAGGCGGGCGACUGAGUGCGUUCCCCUCCAUGCCAAAACUCAAACCCCGGCGCUGAAUGCGUCAAGGAAUUUAAAUUUUGCUCUGAGCGCACCUGCAUGGCACCGGAGACGGUUUUCGUGCGGGUUGUGUUUUGACACAUGAUAUAGAAUGACUCUCGGCAACGGAUAUCUAGGCUCUUGCAUCGAUGAAGAACGUAGCGAAAUGCGAUACUUGGUGUGAAUUGCAGAAUCCCGUGAACCAUCGAGUCUUUGAACGCAAGUUGCGCCCGAUGCCAUUAGGUUGAGGGCACGUCUGCCUGGGUGUCACAUAUCGAAACCUCCUGCCAAUUUCCAUUUGACUAUUGUGCAGGGUGGAUGUUGGCCUCCCGUGAGCUCUUUCGUCUCAUGGUUGGUUGAAAAUUGAGACCUUGGUAGGGUGUGCCAUGAUAGAUGGUGGUUGUGUGACCCACGAGACCAAUCAUGCGCUGCUCUAUUGAAUUUGGCCUCUUUUACCCAUAUGCGUUUCUAAACGCUCGUGAUGAGACCUCAGGUCAGGCGGGGCUACCCGCUGAAUUUAAGCAUAUCAAUAAGCGGAGGAAAAGAAACUAACAAGGAUUCC
rnacentral:rRNA from 1 species